rnacentral:miRNA from 1 species
GGCCUGCUAUCUGUGUGUGUGUGUGUGUGUGUAUUUGUAUAUAUAUAUAUAUAUAUAUAUAUAUAUAUAUACAUAUAUACAUACACACACACACACACACACAUAUAUACACACA